CGGGUGCGUACGCGUAUCAACCUACCUUGAACUGGAAGAUAGCCCCGAGAGAGCGGGAUUACUAUUCCAUAAUGUCCAUUUUUUGCAUAUGAGAUGGAUUCAAGUUCCGGCGGUUCAAGAUGGGCAUGCGUGACAUUAGCUAGUUGGUGAGGUAACGGCUCACCAAUGCGACGAUGUCUAGGGGUCCUGAGAGGGUUUCCCCCCACACUGGUACUGAGACACGGACCAGAGUCCUACGGGAGGCAGCAGUAAGGAAUAUUGGUCAAUGGACGCAAGUCUGAACCAGCCAUGCCGCGUGCAGGAUGACUGCCCUACGGGUUGUAAACUGCUUUUACGUGAGAAAAAACUCCCCGAUUCGUUCGGGGACUGAUGGUAUCACAUGAAUAAGCAUCGGCUAACUCCGUGCCAGCAGCCGCGGUAAUACGGAGGAUGCAAGCGUUAUCCGGAUUCAUUGGGUUUAAAGGGUGUGCAGGCGGAAUGAUAAGUCAGAGGUGAAAUCCCCCGGCUCAACCGGGGACCUGCCUUUGAUACUGUUGUUCUUGAGUAUAGUUGAAGUGGGCGGAAUGUGUCAUGUAGCGGUGACAUGCAUAGAUAUGACACAGAACACCGAUAGCGAAGGCAGCUCACUAACCUAUAACUGACGCUCAUGCACGAAAGCGUGGGGAGCAAACAG
rnacentral:rRNA from 1 species